GAAUACGUUGUUUAUUUUGAUCUAAAACACUAACUAAAUUUAAAUUUCAUAUAAACCGUCGCUUCGUCUUGAAAGUGUUCAAGAUAAAUGCAAUUGCCAUGCUUCGAAAUGGAGCAACUUUUUCACUUAGGCAAACGUUGUCAACCCGUCAAAUUGCCUACAGGGUACAAGGGACACAAGCGGCGCCUGGAAUUAUGCAAACGCUGCGAAAGCAAAGCGCAAAGGCAAACACCGAUUAGCACAAAGAGUGCGUAAGCCAGCGGCGGUGUGGUGAGCGUGGCUUACAGCGGGUACAUGAAGAAGACAGAGACAGAGAGAGAACGAAGGAGCGUAGCUAGAACAGUGUUUUGUUAAGUAACGCCCACAACACGAAGACGUCCCGCAUAAAGCCCAGAGCACCAAACGGUAGAAAGAUAAAAUGGGAGCGCGCGCCAAACAAUGCAAAUAAAAAUGAAGAACAACAUUUGCAUAUUUAUUAGGGCAUACCAAAUAUUUAUUUAUUUGCAAUUCUCGAACCCAAAUAGCGACAAUCAUUUUUCAAUGUCAAUCAGCAUUUGCCAUAUGCCAGAUUUGCAGCAAAAGAUACUAUCCUACCCUUCGAAGUGGAAUAUAUUAUUUGUGUGUUUCGGCAGGGCAAUAAAUAAAGUUAAGUCACUUG